CCUACGGGUGGCAGCAGUCGAGAAUCAUUCUCAAUGGGGGAAACCCUGCUGGUGCGACGCCGCGUGGGGGAAUGAAGGUCUUCGGAUUGUAAACCCCUGUCAUGUGGGAGCAAAUUAAAAAGAUAGUACCACAAGAGGAAGAGACGGCUAACUCUGUGCCAGCAGCCGCGGGAAUACAGAGGUCUCAAGCGUUGUUCGGAAUCACUGGGCGUAAAGCGUGCGUAGGCUGUUUCGUAAGUCGUGUGUGAAAGGCGCGGGCUCAACCCGCGGACGGCACAUGAUACUGCGAGACUAGAGUAAUGGAGGGGGAACCGGAAUUCUCGGUGUAGCAGUGAAAUGCGUAGAUAUCGAGAGGAACACUCGUGGCGAAGGCGGGUUCCUGGACAUUAACUGACGCUGAGGCACGAAGGCCAGGGGAGCGAAAGGGAUUAGAUACCCGUGUAGUC
rnacentral:rRNA from 1 species